CGAUAUAUGUUUAUUUUAUGUAAAAUCAAUUUAUGUAAAAAGUCACAUCAUUGUAGUUAAAAAGGUUGAGUUAGAUCGCAGAAACGGGUACAUAUAGCCCCGCAAACGUGACCACGCCCGCAGAUAUUACUUAAAUCAGAGCCAUAGAGGCCACGCAGGCGAGGCAUCAAUCUUUACGAUCUGUAUAAAGACGGAUUGUUGAUGAUGUGUUAAAAUUGAUGUAAACAAAUUGUGAAGUGAA
rnacentral:misc_RNA from 1 species